AUGAGGAGUCCGUUUCAACUGCCUGGAUCAGCUUUUUCUCUCCCUCCAAGGUUCCAAGUUCCUUUUUGCCUGUCCCCUCCUCACUGCUUGCAGGAUUCUUGCAGCUCUUCCAGGCUCCCAAAGUUUCCAGAUUUCUCUCUCUUACAGACUCCACAGGAGAAAAGUACCCUCCACCCACCCACUAACCCAUCCAAAAGGAUCUUUAGGGAAGUCAAAGUAGUCAUUCCUGGAGCAGAGGCCAGGAGGGAAUGCCUUCCAAGCAUGAGGAACCAGCUGGACAAAGGUGGAAGAGGUGAAGAAGUCAUGAACUUCUUGGCUAGAUGACUGGAGAAAAGACAGAAGUAAGAGGUAGAAUGGAGGUAGAAUUGGCAAGACUCAGCAACUGACUAAAUAUCUUGGCUUCAUGAGAAUUUAGAAGUUAAGGAUUACUCCAACAUGGUGGAUCUGGACAACUUGAAGUAAUGGUUAAACCCUUAACAGAAACAGGUAAGAUGGGAAGAGAUUUCCAGUUGAAGGAUCAGGGGUGGUUAUUUUUGGUGUCAGUAGUUUCAAUCAUGCAUAUCUCUUUAUGUAUGAUCUUUCUGAGGUUUUUUUUUGUUGUUUUUUUUUGCCAAAGACACUGGAGGGGUUUUCCAUUUCUUUCUUCAAUUCAUUUUGUAGAUGAAAAAACUAAGGAAAAUAAAGUAAAGUGAUUUGCCCA
rnacentral:lncRNA from 1 species